rnacentral:rRNA from 1 species
GAUGAACGCUGGCGGCGUGCCUAAUACAUGCAAGUCGAGCGAACGGACGAGAAGCUUGCUUCUCUGAUGUUAGCGGCGGACGGGUGAGUAACACGUGGAUAACCUACCUAUAAGACUGGGAUAACUUCGGGAAACCGGAGCUAAUACCGGAUAAUAUUUUGAACCGCAUGGUUCAAAAGUGAAAGACGGUCUUGCUGUUACUUAUAGAUGGAUCCGCGCUGCAUUAGCUAGUUGGUAAGGUAACGGCCUACCAAGGCAACGAUGCAUAGCCGACCUGAGAGGGUGAUCGGCCACACUGGAACUGAGACAGGGUCCAGACUCCUACGGGAGGCGGCAGUGGGGAAUCUUCCGCAAUGGGCGAAAGCCUGACGGGGCAACGCCGCGUGAGUGAUGAAGGUCUUCGGAUCGUAAAACUCUGUUAUUAGGGAAAAACAUAUGUGUAAGUAACUGUGCACAUCUUGACGGUACCUAAUCAGAAAGCCACGGCUAACUACGUG